GAUGAACGCUGGCGGCGUGCCUAAUACAUGCAAGUCGAGCGAACAGACGAGGAGCUUGCUCCUCUGACGUUAGCGGCGGACGGGUGAGUAACACGUGGAUAACCUACCUAUAAGACUGGGAUAACUUCGGGAAACCGGAGCUAAUACCGGAUAAUAUAUUGAACCGCAUGGUUCAAUAGUUAAAGACGGUUUUGCUGUCCCUUAUACAUGGAUCCGCGCCGCAUUAGCUAGUUGGUAAGGUAACGGCUUACCAAGGCCACGAUGCGUAGCCGACCUGAGAGGGUGAUGCGCCACACUGGAACUGAGACACGGUCCAGACUCCUACGGGAGGCAGCAGUAGGGAAUCUUGCGCAAUGGGCGAAAGCCUGACGGAGCAACGCCGCGUGAGUGAUGAAGGUCUUCGGAUCGUAAAACUCUGUUAGUAGGGAAGAACAAAUGUGUAAGUAACUAUGCACGUCUUGACGGUACCUAAACAGAAAGCCACGGCUAACUACGUG
rnacentral:rRNA from 1 species